GGGGGACGCGCCAAACCAUCCUGCAGGCUGCCAGCUUGCACUGCACACUCUCCUCACCCACCGGCCCCUGCAGCCAUUCCAUGUGAGUUGCGACAUGCAGGGGAAGGCAGGCCCACCCUGUCUGCCUUUAUGCCUACCUCGCCUCCUGUGUGUGUGUGUGUGUUCCCCAUGCUGCUCCAGGAUCUCUUUGGGGAAUCCAGCUCAGCAAGCAUGGAAGUCUGCAAGUUAACUGGACAAAUUGACAUAGCGUCCUGCUCACAUAGGG